CUUCGGUGGUGUAUAAAUGUGGUGCUGGAGGCUCUGUGCUCUUUCCUGUUCGUCAUGUCGGUGGUGAUGUUUUCUUUACUGCACAAACGCUCUGCUUCGCCUUUUAUGGGUGUUUCUCGAUUCGGAGUGCCGUGAUGGAUCUCCAUACUGGGUUAUCUUCAUCAGUGCUAGUGCACUUCUGAUCUUUGACGUUCAAAGACUCGCACUGCCACGGCCUGUUGACUUGCGUGGCUGAUGGUGUUCCUCAAGAACUGUGGCCUUAGUAUGGUAUUGUGCAGAAGGUGUAACAGGAACAAGGUUUGAGAAGGGAUGAUUUGCAGUAUAGAAGACUUUGUGAAGGACCAAGGAAGGCUGUCUUCCACAUGUGCAUGUAAUCUGUGUGGAUCAUUCAGACCCUUUGGGGAUUUUUGGAUGUAGAAAUUGUUUUUGCUAUUCUGUAAUUAAAUCUUGCACUCAA